AACGAACGCUGGCGGCAUGCCUAACACAUGCAAGUCGAACGAGACCUUCGGGUCUAGUGGCGCACGGGUGCGUAACGCGUGGGAACCUGCCCUUAGGUUCGGAAUAACUCCCCGAAAGGGGUGCUAAUACCGGAUAAUGUCUUCGGACCAAAGAUUUAUCGCCUUUGGAUGGGCCCGCGUUGGAUUAGAUAGUUGGUAGGGUAAAAGCCUACCAAGGCGACGAUCCACAGCUGGUCUGAGAGGAUGAUCAGCCACACUGGGACUGAGAAACGGCCCAGACUCCUACGGGAGGCAGCAGUGGGGAAUAUUGGACAAUGGGCGAAAGCCUGAUCCAGCAAUGCCGCGUGAGUGAUGAAGGCCUUAGGGUUGUAAAGCUCUUUUACCCGGGAUGAUAAUGACAGUACCGGGAGAAUAAGCGCCGGCUAACUCCGUG
rnacentral:rRNA from 1 species